AAUCCUUUGAUUUUGGGGAGGAUAUAAAGCGAGUGGCACUUAUAAUACAUGCUAGGGUGAGAGAUGAAGAGGUUUUUUGCUCAUACAAGUGAGGAAUAUCUUAGAGCCAGCUAAUGAAAACUAGAGGGAAUAUAUAAUUUUGCAUAGUUAAUUGAUGGUUCAGGAUCGUAUUAGGCUUUUAGAGUAAGAUCUAAGCUUAGAUGCGUAGUUGAGAGACCACGCUUCCACUGAAACAAGGGGGAGUCUUAUAUAGGGGCUGCAGUAGAGAAUAUUGUGCAAUGUAUGAAAAUAUGACACAGAGAUGUUGCAAAUAAGGCUGUCUAAUAUACGUGCCAGCAGACGCGGUUAAACGUAAGGCCUGAGUUUUUAUCAUAAAAGGCGUAAAGGGUAUGUAGGUGUGAUUUAAUAGGGGUUUUAAAGGGGUAAAUAGAAUGGUUUAUGUAGGGAUGGAAAGCCAUAAUAUAAAUUGGAAUAUCAAGGGCGUAGGCAAUUUACUGGUUAAAACAAAAGCUGAUAUACGAAAGUAGGGGGAGCAACCGGGGUAGUAAACCCGUUAGUCCUUACUGUAAACUCUGAAUUUUAGAUUUUAGAAGAAUCUAUGAUAACUUAAGAAAAUUUUCGCCUGGAGAGUAUGGUCGCAAGAUUAAAAUUUAAAAAAUUUGGCGGUUCACCAGUAUAAUUAGAGGAGCGUGUGGUUUAAUUCGAUGAUCCGCGAAUAAUUUUACCAAAAUUGGAAGGGGUGUAGAGUGUUUCUGAGUUAUUACACUGAGCACCGGUAUUGCAUGGCCGUCGUCAGUUUGUGUUUUGAAAGAAAUAGAAUGGGCUCAAUCCUAGGUUAUGAAUCAUCAAAUAGAUAAAUAAUCAAGGACGAGGUCAGGUCGUUAUGAUCCUAAUGUUUUGGGCUAUACAUGCGCUACACUUAUGUAUAUACAAAGAUGAGUUAGUUCAAAAGUAAAAGAUUGGAGUACUUUUUGAAAUAGAGAGUAUGAAAUGGGAUUUAAUAGUAAUCGGAAAGUAGGGCGUUCUGGUGAAUAAUCAUUUGGUGUUCGUACAAAUUGCCCGUCACCUUAGCUAAGUAAAUGUUUCUAAAGUGUAAAGUAAUAAGAUAAGGGAUAAAACUGAAUAUGGUUGAGGGUUAAGUAAGGGCUUAUUUUGUGCUAUAUAUGACGAAAAAUUUAUAAGGUCGAGAAAGUCGUAACAGAGUAAGAGGAUUGGAAAAUCUUCUUGGAUUAAU
rnacentral:rRNA from 1 species